rnacentral:snRNA from 1 species
AUUCUUACCUGGCAGGGGAGAUACCAUGAUCACGAAGGUGGUUUUCCCAGGGCGAGGCUUAUCCAUUGCACUCCAGGUGUGCUGACCCCUGUGAUUUCCCCAAAUGUGGGAAACUUGACUGCAUAAUUUGUGGUAGUGGGGGACUGCGUUCGUGCUCUCCCCUG